rnacentral:rRNA from 1 species
UACAGAGGGUGCAAGCGUUGUUCGGAAUUACUGGGCGUAAAGCGUCUGUAGGCGGUGCUGAGAGUCCUAGGUGAAAUCCCCGAGCUUAACUCGGGAACUGCCUCGGAGACCUCAGUACUAGAGUACGAAAGGGGUUGCUGGAAUUCCAUGUGUAGCGGUGAAAUGCGUAGAUAUAUGGAGGAACACCUGUGGCGAAGGCGGGCAACUGGUUCGAGACUGACGCUGAGAGACGAAAGCGUGGGGAGCAAACAGG